ACGGGUCUGUGCAUGUUUUUGUCACUCCACAAGGUCACUGUCCGGAAGUGGUAGGGGGAAGGUUAUCAAAACAAGGUGUCAAAAGUACUCACAAAAGGCCUUCAUCGCCUCACAAAUGAAUGACCUUAAUGAACCUACCAUCGGGCUCAGCAGUCUUCCUCAAGAAAUAUUGCAGGAUGACCUCAGUGACCCUAUAAUCGGACUCAGCAGGUUUUCUGGAGGAAACCCUGGAAGUGUUCUCAGGUGAGCAGGUAAGGUAGACGCUUCCUGAUUCAGUUCUCCAUUUUGACUUGAAACUUUCUCAACAGCCUUCCUCAAGAAAUGUUGCAAGCAUUUCAACAAUAUUUGCCAGCAUAACUUUUCAAAAGGGUAUAUGACCUCCUUCCUGUUGUCCUUCAGGAAUCUUCUUGAAUCAUCUUGUUUUCACCUCUGAUCACCCUUUAUCGACAGCCAGAAAAGCCCUGCAUCGCCUUCCCAACCACUGAUGGAAAAGGCCUUGUUUUUCUGCAGUUAUUUUUCUCUUCACAGAAGCUACACCUGGUCUUGCGCUGUCGUUCCUCAGCUUCACACACUGUUAUUUCUGAAUUAAGAUGCCUGUUGGGGCACCUCUGACCUUUUGUAACUUGACAUUAUUUAACACAAAAACACAGCGGGCUCUGAUGGGUAACCCCAGCAGUGCUACCACCAGGCUCAGCAGGUGUUCUGGAGAAAACCCUGGAGGUGUCUCUUUUUUAUCCAGUUCUCCAUUUUGACUUGGAACCUUCUUAGCAAUCUGCCUUGAGAAAUGCAGGUAUUUUGCUGUUAUUUAAGUGAUAUUUACGUGUGAGUUUUUGAAAAGUUGUGAUUUCAUUUUGAGACGUUAAAGGGUUUGACCUGAAACCUGCACCCGUCCUGUUGUCGUUGCCCUCCCGUUCUGUUGUCAUUGCCCUCCCAUCUUGUUAUCCUUCAGGAAUCCUCCUGGAUCGUCUCGUUUCCGUCUCUGAUUUUGCCUCUGCAACUUCAGGACUAAAAAGACAGAGCUUGUCUGCAUAAAUCUGAUGAGUAUCUGUGUAAUGUAUCUGUGUGUGUUGACAGGAAGACAGAACAGCAUGUG